UACUUCAAGCUCUACCUGGGGCUCUGCACAGGUUUCAGUGUUUUAUUGUUGGUCAUUCUGCUAAUACUGGCAGGAGUGUUUCAACGUAAUAAACAUCAACAAAUCAUCAGAAGUCAUACAGAAGAAACUUCUUUGACACCAAGUGCUCAAAAUUCAACUGUUUCCUUCCAGUCUCCCUCUUCUGCACAAACAGUGCCUGCAGUGGUAAGCAUAGCUGAAGAAAACAACGAGACAUAUUCCCUCAUCACAAAACCAACAAUGUCAAAAGAGGACAAUGCACUUGAAUCAGUCCAGGUGAUGUAUGCUACGGUCGGGAAACCCAGCGACAUGAAAGAGAUGGCAGUAGUGAGCUGGUUGGAGACCUACAACUGACUGGCAUGGAUCUGGAUAACUUUUACUGCGCAAUACAAAACUAAAAAUAAAGUGAAUGCUGGUCUUCAGUGUGCAGAAAAAGUGACAUAUAUUUAUAUAAAAUGCAAUGAACAUUUUUGUGGUCAUUGACACAUUUAAUUAGUUAAUUUCUAGUUAAUUUCUAAUUUGUGAAAAGAUGGCAGUUUAUAUCAAAUUGCAAAUAUCUCAACCUGCAUGUUUAAAAAAAUAUUAUGUCUGUUCUUAUUCUGAGAGUGAAAACUUCAGCCACCUCACAUAAUCAUAACAGGUAGCAGUGUGUUAAUAAAUAUGAACAGUGAAGCCCAGGUCUAUUUGCUCUGCCUAAUUGUAGACAUGAGUACACUGUUGCACUUUUUAAAUAUGCUCACUGUGGCUUCUGUGGCGAGACAGUGUGACAAAUGUUAUGUUAAUGUAAUGUCAGCAAUCAACAGAAUAUCUGUUUAUGGUAAAGAUGGUGAUUCUGUGAACACAAGGUGAAUCUUAUGUAAAAUUAUGAAGAUGGAGGAAUAAAUUUAAUGCAAAAA